rnacentral:tRNA from 1 species
GCUGUUGUAGCUCAGUGGUAGAGCACUUCCUUGGUAAGGAAGAGGUCACGGGUUCAAUCCUGCUCAAAGGCUC